rnacentral:lncRNA from 1 species
CCUUCCCUUUCCUGUCUCACUUCCCCACUCCUCUUCCUGGGUCGCCUCCCAAACAAACUACUUGGACCUGAAUCUCGUCCAGCCUUAUGUUCUGGUGUUAAAGAGUCUGUCUGGAAUUUACCCUGAGAACAAUAGGCUUUACCUUCCUCUGAUAAUUGGCAAAAGGUUCUGAAGCUCCCAGGCCAUCUGGAGUCCUUGUAAACUAGCAUACCUACAGCUGUACAAGCCAUAUUUUGAUAGCCCCCUGUAGCUAAUGGCUACCAUAUUGAACAGCAAAGAUAUACGGUACUUACCCAGCAGUAUAGAAAGCUCAACCGGACAGUGCUACAACAGUUGCAGGUAAGCAAGCAAGGUAAGGAUAGUCCCAAUCAGAUAGAUGGCAUCUAUUUUGUGUGAAGCCUUGUGAGGUGGCUCACACCUGUAGUCCCAGCUACUUGGGAAGCUGAGGUGGGAGGAUCACUUGAGGUCAGGAGUUUGAGACCAGCCUGGGCAACAUAAUGAAACGAAAAUAAAAAAAUUUUUUUUUUCUGUGUGAAAU